GACGAACGCUGGCGGCGUGCUUAACACAUGCAAGUCGAACGGAAAGGCCCUGCUCUUGUGGGGUGCUCGUGUGGCGAACGGGUGAGUAAAACGUGUGUAACACGCCCUUGACUUUGGGAUAACUUCAGGAAACUGGGGCUCAUACCGGAUAGGAGCUCCUGCUGCAUGGUGGGGGUUGGAAAGAUGCGGCGGUUGUGGAUAGACUGGCGGCUUAUCAGCCUGUUGGUGGGGUAGUGGAUUACCAAGGUUUUGACGGGUAGCCGGCCUGAGAGGGUGACCGGCCACAAUGGGACUGAGGUACGGCCCAGUCGCGUACGGGAGGCAGCAGUGGAGAAUAUUGCAGAGUGGGCGGAAGCCUGAGGCAGCAACGCCGCGUGCGGGAUGACGGCCUUCGGGUUGUAAACCGCUGUCGACUGUGACGAAGCGGGAGUGACGGUAAUGGGUAAAGAAGCAACGGCUAACUACGUG
rnacentral:rRNA from 1 species